rnacentral:rRNA from 1 species
UGGGGAAUAUUGCACAAUGGGCGAAAGCCUGAUGCAGCAACGCCGCGUGAGUGAUGAAGGCCUUCGGGUUGUAAAGCUCUGUCUUCUGGGACGAUAAUGACGGUACCAGAGGAGGAAGCCACGGCUAACUACGUGCCAGCAGCCGCGGUAAUACGUAGGUGGCAAGCGUUGUCCGGAUUUACUGGGCGUAAAGGAUGCGUAGGCGGAUACUUAAGUCAGAUGUGAAAAUCCCGGGCUUAACUUGGGAACUGCAUUUGAAACUGGGUAUCUAGAGUGCGGUAGAGNAGAGUGGAAUUCCUAGUGUAGCGGUGAAAUGCGUAGAGAUUAGGAAGAACACCAGUGGCGAAGGCGACUUUCUGGACCGUAACUGACGCUGAGGCAUGAAAGCGUGGGGAGCAAACA